rnacentral:tRNA from 1 species
GUCCCAUAGUGUAGCGGUUAUCACUUCGGAUUCUGAUUCCGACAACCCGAGUUCGAGUCUCGGUGGGACCU